AGAGAUCAUGGCUCAGGAUGAACGCUAGCGGCAGGCCUAAUACAUGCAAGUCGAACGGGGUUGAGUAGCAAUACUCAAUUCAGUGGCGCACGGGUGCGUAACGCGUAUGCAACCUACCUUAAACUGGGGGAUAGCCUUCCGAAAGGGAGAUUAAUACCGCAUAAGAUCACACGAGGGCAUCUGAGAGUGAUUAAAGAUUUAUUGGUUUAAGAUGGGCAUGCGUGCCAUUAGCUAGUUGGUAGGGUAACGGCCUACCAAGGCUACGAUGGCUAGGGGUUCUGAGAGGAUGAUCCCCCACACUGGUACUGAGAUACGGACCAGACUCCUACGGGAGGCAGCAGUAGGGAAUAUUGGGCAAUGGACGCAAGUCUGACCCAGCCAUGCCGCGUGCAGGAUGAAGGCCUUCUGGGUUGUAAACUGCUUUUAUCUAGGAAGAAAACGCCCAUGCGUGGGAAACUGACGGUACUAGAUGAAUAAGCACCGGCUAACUCCGUGCCAGCAGCCGCGGUAAUACGGAGGGUGCAAGCGUUGUCCGGAUUUAUUGGGUUUAAAGGGUGCGUAGGCGGCCCGGUAAGUCAGUGGUGAAAGCCUCCAGCUCAACUGGAGAACUGCCAUUGAUACUGCCGGGCUUGAGUACAGACGAGGUUGGCGGAAUUUGAUUGCGUAGCGGUGAAAUGCAUAGAUACAAUCAAGAACUCCGAUUGCGUA
rnacentral:rRNA from 1 species